CUUCCCGUCUCCUUCCUUCCCCACAAAUUUAGUACUCGUAUUUACUUGCACCCCACUUUUCCCCCAUUCCCCUUCCCUUCCGUCCGUCGCCGGGAUCGGAUCGCGCCGCUCUUCUCCGGCAGGCGCGGAUCGCCGAUCGACAGCCGGUCGGCAAGCAGCAUCGGUUGGCAGGCCGUCUUAGGGGAGCAAGAAGAGGAGGGAUCGACCGAUGGGGCGGCUGUUCCUGACCAGCCUGGCGCCGGCGACCGGCACCAUCUACUGCUGCAAGCACUGCGACUCCCACCUCGCCUACGCCCAGCACAUCAUCUCCAAGAUGUUCCGCUGCAAGCACGGCAAGGCCUACCUCUUCGACAAGGUGUAAGUGAUUGAUUACUGGACCAUGCCUGAAUCCCCCCAUCUUGCUCAUACUUCUCCAUUUUUAUUCAUCAUCUUGCUACUGCCUGUGCUCUGUUUUAUUUACUGUGUGCUCUGUUCUUCUCUGUAACACGGCUGCUGCUGCUGCUGCUGCUGCAUUAUUAUUAUUAUUCAGAAGAAUUGAUGUGCUCUGUUCUCUGUUUUACCGUGUGUUUCAUUGUGUAUGUGCCCUUCCUUCAUCGGCAAUGCAGCGUGAACGUGGUCGCCGGGGAGAGUGAGGACGACCGGAUGAUGACCACGGGCCUGCACACCGUCCGCGACAUCUUCUGCGUCGCCUGCGGAGCCAUCCUCGGCUGGAAAUACGUGUCUGCAUUUGACAAGGAUCAGAGGUAUAAGGAGGGCAAGUUCAUCCUGGAGAGGUGCAAGAUCCAUUCGGGCGGAGGCGGCCCUCCCGACCGCAUCCAGCUGUGGGCUGAGCAUGACGCUCGCAUAAGUUCCAGCGAGGAUGACGACCAGGGCGCCGUGUGACCUUGCAAGACAAUGCAAGAUCAGUUCAUUAGGCAGGCAGACAUGACAUGACUGUAAAUAUUAGUGUUAAUCAGCGUCGUUCCGUUCCCUGGCACUGCAAAUCAUGUAGCUGCUCGCUAGAUGAAGAACCAUGAAUGCUUAUCUAUCUAUGCAUAUGCAACCGUAUGAACCAGACUAGUUGUCGUUCAUGUACAUAUAAGAAUGUGUCUCCACCAAAAUAAAAUCUUUGUCAGUUUAGUACUGAUUUGGUUAUCGGUCUAUCUCCACAACACUAGCUAUUAAUCAUUUGGAGGAUGGAUAUCCCCUGCUGGCAGUGUUAUGCAUGCUAUGUCCAUCAGUUAAGCAUUGGUGAACAGUGAUCACAUCUUUUUACACCGUCUGAGGCAGUUUUAGUUGAUUUAUUUACAUGGGCUGUUUCCCCCCUUGUGAAGCAGAAUAUUCAGGUGGGGUUUACAAGUGAAUUAUUUAACGGGCGUUUAAUUUGAUAAAAUAAAUCCAGGAUGAAACAUUGAACGGAAAAUGUCAUUUCGAUGAAAAAAUUAUGCAUGGCAAUGAUCUAGGACAAUUGCGUAAGAAACGUGAAAGAAACAUUGUAACUGCAUCAUGUUCGGAACGACAUACAAUUCCCUGUUCUGGGACAUUUUGUUGCAUACAUUAGCUGCAGCUGGUGUUUGUCUGCGUGGUUUGUUAGAAUGGUGAUGGUUUGAAUUCUUCACAUUUCAUAUACUGGGAGAAUGACAACGAAUGUUACCACUCAGAAGGGCAAAUCUACUGAGGUUGCGAUUCUGAUCCACAACACAUGUGGCAUGUGGUUUCACAUGCUGAUCAUUCACAUUAUUAUUCGACUUUUGUUGUUGUUUCCUUCCUCAUUAUAGUAGUAUAUAUAUGUGUGUAAAAAGGCGUGGGGAUUUGGAACUCGAUUCCCUGGUUUGUUUACAGUGAUUUGGUUCACCAUCGCUUGUUCAAACACAGGAAAUCCAUGAAAAAUUGGCUGGCUCUAUCACCUUUCAGCAUUGUCAACAGGAAGCAAAUACAGUGGCGCACAAGCCGGCGAGACGCUUUUGAUACAAAUUCUCC
rnacentral:rRNA from 1 species